rnacentral:misc_RNA from 1 species
GAAAUGCGAUAAGUAAUGCGAAUUGCAGAAUUCAGUGAAUCAUCGAAUCUUUGAACGCACAUUGCGCCCCCCAGUACUCUGGGAGGCACGCCUGUCUGAGCGUCAUUUCAACCCUCAGAACCCCUUGCGGGAUCUGGCGUUGGGGAUUGGCAUCCAGCCAGCCCCGAAAUCUAGUGGCGGUCCCUCCGCGACCUCCCCUGUGCAGUAGCGAUACCUCGCAGCGGGACAGCGGUCUGACCACGCCGUAAAACCCCCAACUUCUCAAGGUUGACCUCGAAUCAGGUAGGAAUACCCGCUGAACUUAAGC